rnacentral:rRNA from 1 species
UGAGAGUAACUGUUCAUGCAGUGACGGUAUUCAACCAGAAAGUCACGGCUAACUACGUGCCAGCAGCCGCGGUAAUACGUAGGUGGCAAGCGUUAUCCGGAUUUAUUGGGCGUAAAGCGAGCGCAGGCGGUUGCUUAGGUCUGAUGUGAAAGCCUUCGGCUUAACCGAAGAAGUGCAUCGGAAACCGGGCGACUUGAGUGCAGAAGAGGACAGUGGAACUCCAUGUGUAGCGGUGGAAUGCGUAGAUAUAUGGAAGAACACCAGUGGCGAAGGCGGCUGUCUGGUCUGCAACUGACGCUGAGGCUCGAAAGCAUGGGUAGCGAACAGGAUUAGAUACCCUGGUAGUCCAUGCCGUAAACGAUGAGUGCUAGGUGUUGGAGGGUUUCCGCCCUUCAGUGCCGCAGCUAACGCAUUAAGCACUCCGCCUGGGGAGUACGACCGCAAGGUUGAAACUCAAAGGAAUUGACGGGGGCCCGCACAAGCGGUGGAGCAUGUGGUUUAAUUCGAAGCUACGCGAAGAACCUUACCAGGUCUUGACAUCUUGCGCUAACCUAAGAGAUUAGGCGUUCCCUUCGGGGACGCAAUGACAGGUGGUGCAUGGUCGUCGUCAGCUCGUGUCGUGAGAUGUUGGGUUAAGUCCCGCAACGAGCGCAACCCUUGUUACUAGUUGCCAGCAUUCAGUUGGGCACUCUAGUGAGACUGCCGGUGACAAACCGGAGGAAGGUGGGGACGACGUCAGAUCAUCAUGCCCCUUAUGACCUGGGCUACACACGUGCUACAAUGGCCGGUACAACGAGCAGCUAACCCGCGAGGGUGUGCAAAUCUCUUAAAGCCGGUCUCAGUUCGGACUGCAGUCUGCAACUCGACUGCACGAAGUCGGAAUCGCUAGUAAUCGCGGAUCAGCAUGCCGCGGUGAAUACGUUCCCGGGCCUUGUACACACCGCCCGUCACACCAUGGAAGUUUGCAAUGCCCAAAGUCAGUGGCCUAACCAUUUUGGAGGGAGCUGCCUAAGGCAGGGCAGAUGACUGGGGUGAAGUCGUAACAAGGUAGCCGUAGGAGAACCUGCGGCUG